GCCUGCAGCUUGCAAAAGUACCUGGUUAUUUUUAUUCCUUUGAUACUUGAUCUACUAUCAAAAUAACUGAUUUUUUUUCUCUUUAACUCCUUAGGAAUCCCCAAAAAACCUGCCACAGGUGAGGCACUGCCAAAAGCCCCCUCAGUUGCCCAUGCACAGGAGGGGUCGGGUCACCGCUUGCGCAGCCCUACAACUGCAGCUAUGUGUGGUGCAGGGUUUCUCCUGAAGACGUGAGGGUUUUGUCCUGCCCUGCGUGGGUUUUGCAAUCCAGAUACUCAGGAACAUCUUUGCUGACGACGUAUCUCGGGCUCUCACUUGUGCUUGUCCUGGCCAUCCUUGUACACGAAGUGUCUGCAUGUGUUCAGCUGGAAGAUGAUGGGCAAGACAUGACCAUAAGAGGGGUUUUAUAACCAGCUGGUUAACAAGUGCUCCUUCCCAGCAUGGCUGCUUCCAGAAAUCUCCAGGUUUCGACCUGCUGGCUAUUUCAAGUAAGUCUCAAUUUAUAUAUUUUCUUUUCAUAAGCUCUCCAUGGCCAAGCUGUGACAGCUGAGGGAAACCUGCUCAGUCUUUCAGUAUUAAGAUCUCAAUUAUCAGAGGACUGGCUUCUUCCACAGGAUUGUGUGUGUGUGUGUGUUGGGACUCCUUAAAGUCUUUUCAGAGCUGAAGCAUAAGCGGGGACUCAGCUUGGUGUGGUAUUGGGGGCUCUGAAAAAAAAUGCCAGGAGGGAAAGUCCAACCUCGAUUUUUGUCAUUUAAUGCCAC
rnacentral:lncRNA from 1 species